rnacentral:rRNA from 1 species
CGCUGGCGGCGUGCCUAAUACAUGCAAGUCGAACGAACUGUGGAAAGCUUGCUUUCAGAGUUAGUGGCGAACGGGUGAGUAACACGUAAGUAACCUAGCUAUUAGACGAGGAUAACUACUGGAAACGGUAGCUAAGACUGGAUAUGAUAGAAAUAUUUAAAGGAUGCUAAGGCAUCGCUAAUAGAGGGGCUUGCGGCGCAUUAGCUAGUUGGUAGGGUAAAAGCCAACCAAGGCGAUGAUGCGUAGCCGACCUGAGAGGGUGACCGGCCACACUGGGACUGAGACACGGCCCAGACUCCUACGGGAGGCAGCAGUAGGGAAUCUUCGGCAAUGGACGAAAGUCUGACCGAGCAACGCCGCGUGAGUGAAGAAAGUUUUCGGAUUGUAAAGCUCUGUUAUUAGGGAAGAAAGGCUCUAGGAGGAAAUGCUUAGGGAUUGACGGUACCUAAUGAGGAAGCCACGGCUAACUACGUGCCAGCAGCCGC